UACGUAGGGGGCUAGCGUUGUCCGGAAUCACUGGGCGUAAAGCGCACGCAGGCGGUCUGUCAAGUCGGAUGUGAAAUCCCCGGGCUCAACCUGGGAACUGCAUUCGAAACUGGCAGGCUAGAGUCUCGUAGAGGGGGGUAGAAUUCCAGGUGUAGCGGUGAAAUGCGUAGAGAUCUGGAGGAAUACCGGUGGCGAAGGCGGCCCCCUGGACGAAGACUGACGCUCAGGUGCGAAAGCGUGGGGAGCAAACAGG
rnacentral:rRNA from 1 species